ensembl:lncRNA
GAAAGAGUCCCUCUAUGGUGGGAUGCUGAUAGAAGAUUAUGCCUAUGAGUCUCUUGUUGAUGGAAAUGGAAAGAAAGUCGAGCAGCAGGAGCCUGAGAAAAUCUCAGUGCCAGCUCAGCCCAAAAUACUGAGAUCUCCAGAUGAGGUUUACGAAGACAUGAUGGAGAAGAAGAAAGAAUUCAUGCAGCUGGAGCAGGAACUGAAAAAAGCACAGUCCGUGUCAGAUAGACCCACACCAGAGAUUGUAUUGCAACCCACUGAGCCAACCAGAUCCACGAGUGUUACAGUUACUAUAGGCAAGGAUGGGAAACCACUGCUCGAUGCUGAGGCUACGUAUGAGGAACUCAUGAAGAAAGUUCUGACUCCUGGGACUAGCCCGACACAGCAGGGUCCUGAUAUAUCUGGGGCGGCCCCUGGUGGUGAGUUCGAAGGUACUGAAUCCAGAAGGGCUCUGCGUCCCAUACCAGACCUGAGGGUUACACAGUGCUCCUCAGGGGAGGAGGACGCUGAUGAAGAGGCCACUGAGACCAAAAGUCAAGAUAAGCCAAAGACUUCAUCAGACAUUCCUAAAGCUGAUCAGGCACCCUUAACAGCUGCUGCAGAAACUGAGUCCAAAUCAGUUGCUUGCAAGGUCCUCCCAUCAACAACUUCAGACCAACCACAGACCCAAUUUGAAACUUCCCAGGCUGACCAGCCUCUGGACAUAACCCAACAGGAUGUCAUGGACUUGUCUAGUAUAAAGUCCUCAACACCUGCUGUUGCCAGUGUAUCGCCCUUACCCACCGUCCCUCAGUACACCCCCACUGUCCCCGGUGUAGUGUCGACCACCCCACCAGUGCCCCCAAACCAGCCAUCCUGCACAGGGCUCUGUCUCAGGAAAAAGCAGACAUUCCUGAACCCCCUCCACUGCCCCCUCCCACGAUGCCAAAGCCAUCGGUUUACCCCAGGAAACCCCCUGUUCCGCUUCCAUCUCAGGCUAUAAUCAGGUCAGAACAUGUUGCCAUGACAACAACCCAAGGGUCACCUGUAAGACAGCCUCAUAUCCCCCCACCGGUUCCUCCAAAGCCAGCAAUCCCUGCUGGAAUGGGGUACAGCCACAGGCCAGGGGAAAACGUCAAACCACCCCUUGCUCCAAAACCUGUCUCUCAGCCUGGCUCUCCUGCCCACAUCCAAUAUCCAAGACCCACUGCCCUCCACACAGGCCAUGCUGAUAUAGCCCUGAAUCUGAGCCCCUCAGCUGAAAGCAGGCCAGGUCACUUUUCAGGUCAUUCCUCGGGUCACUCCUCGGGUCACCCAUCCCCCACGUCUCCGCGAUACGGCAAUCGACACGAAACUUAUGUGGUUAUAACUCUGCCAUCCCAGCCCAACUCUCCAGUGGAAGGGAUCACCACCCAGGCCCCAUCCAGUCCUGGUCCAGCAUCUCCUUCAAGACAUGCCCAACCUCCACCUCAACCUCAAACACAGUAUCAACCACAACCUCAUCCCCAGAAACAACCACAGCCACCUCCACCACACACAAAUAGGAUGCCCCUGGCAUUCACUCGCAUCACUGAGUCCAUGGAAAGUCAAGAGAUAUGUGGGCCAGAGAAAGUUGUGUCAAGCUCCUGUCAUGUCAUUGAGGCUAUUUCAGCAUCCGCUCCACCCCCAGAGGUCAGGUUAGGGCAGGUCACUCAGUUUGUGACGACAGAAGUUCAAAGAACCAUGGUGUCUGUCCGACACGAAAGGUCACCGCCC